UACUACACUAAGAUGUGAGUUUUUAAAAACUUAAUUAUUUAUAGAUAUGUUCUUGAAAUUUGAAGAAUUUGGCGGUAAUUUAGUCUUGUCAGAGGAAUUUGUUUUUUAAUCGAUAAACCACGUAAAAUCUUGCCCAUUUUUGUUUUCAGUUUAUAUACCAUCAUUAACAGAUAAUCUUAAUAUAAAGAUAAUUAUUAAGUUUUAUAGAUAAUAAAAAUUAGAUCAAGGUGUAGCUAAUAAAUGGGUUAAAAUGAAUUACAAUAAAUUUUAUUUAUAACGAAUUUAUUAAUGAAAUUUAAUAAUAAAGGUGGAUUUGAUUGUAAUGAGAGUUUAAUAUGCUUUAAAGAUAUAAGUUCUAAAUUAU
rnacentral:rRNA from 1 species